UGCUGUGAACUUGAACAGUAUUCACCAUGAACCUGAAAAAUUGAACGACUCGAUUGUGGCUGUGGAAAUGAAUAAAAUCCAGGACACGUCACUGACUAGCGGGAGCCUGAUAGACGUCCCAGCAGAGAUUUCACAUCCAAUCAGUAACCCUCAAUUAAUCGAUUCGUCUGUGGCUGUGGAAAUGAAUAAAAUCCAGGACACGUCGCUGACUAGUGGGAGCCUGAUAGACGUCCCAGCAGAGAUUUCACAUCCAGUCAG